GACGAACGCUGGCGGCGUGCUUAACACAUGCAAGUCGAACGGAAAGGCCUCUUUCGGGGGGUACUCGAGUGGCGAACGGGUGAGUAACACGUGAGUAACCUGCCCUUGACUUUGGGAUAACUUCAGGAAACUGGGGCUAAUACCGGAUAGGAGCUCCUGCUGCAUGGUGGGGGUUCGAAAGUUUCGGCGGUUGGGGAUGGACUCGCGGCUUAUCAGCUUGUUGGUGGGGUAGUGGCUUACCAAGGCUUUGACGGGUAGCCGGCCUGAGAGGGUGACCGGCCACAUUGGGACUGAGAUACGGCCCAGACUCCUACGGGAGGCAGCAGUGGGGAAUAUUGCACAAUGGGUGGAAGCCUGAUGCAGCAACGCCGUGUGCGGGAUGACGGCCUUCGGGUUGUAAACCGCUUUCGCUCAUGACGAAGCUUUGUGUGACGGUAGUGGGUAAAGAAGCACCGGCUAACUACGUG
rnacentral:rRNA from 1 species